GGUUUCAGUGAGGACAGCCUUCUGUCUCUGCUGGAUUUCUCCUAUUCCUCCACUCUGUGCGUCCGCCAGGAGGACCUACCGGAAGUUAUCGCCAUGGCCCGCCACCUGGGCAUGUGGCCUGCAGUGGAAGCCUGUUCUGCCCUCAUUAAAGAGCAGGAACAGCAACUCCAUCCUGGGAAGGGCUUUACUUCAGCCGGUGCUGGUGCAUGCCAAAACCGCCAUCACCUACAGAGGGAAAGCAAAAGGAAAAGUGUUUUGGAAUUGGAGGACAACAUGAACGACAACUUCAGUCUCACGCUGGAUUCAACGGAUGACUCUUUAGAAGGAAGUCCCAGACGCAAUUUGCGCAGAAUGCCAAAACCCCAAGGCCAUAACGGCCUCCCUCUGAGUCCCUCACACAGGAUGAAGCUCAUGGAUUUCAAAUCUCCCUCGUCCAAAAAGGCCACUACACCCCGACACGCCAUAGCCUCCUCACAGACGCAGAAUUACUCCUCCAUACCUCCGUCAAACACCCGUCUUCUCCGCUCCACUCCUGGAGCUGCCAAGGAGGUUCAGAGAUUGCUGCCAAUGCCAGAGAGCCCUCGAAGAAACAAAAAGUCUCGCUCCAUCACCAAGCUCUCAUGCUCCUCCAGAUCAAGGCCCAGCACUGUCUGCAGCCCUGUGAGGAUUAAGCAAGAAGUAGAGGAGGUUGGAGAGGAUGAGGAGGAUUAUGCACGAGCACAGGAGAAAUACAAGCUGAUGAAUGUCCUGGGGCUACAGAGGACCGCUCUUCUCCCCAGACCAGAGGAUCUGAUUGGCUGGAGACAGAAGAAACGUCUGAGGAAGCUGAAGGCUAAUAACUAUUCACUGACCAAGCGCCGGAAACCUCGUUCAUCAACCCCAGGACAAGCAUAUGCGGAUGUGACACUGGCUCUUCCCCUCUGUAACCCUGUUAACACUCGCCUUCUAAACAAGUCUGUAAAAACCAAGCCUGUGGGUUCAGUCAGCACCGAGAAGAUAACAGCAAAGAGACCAAACGCCUCCCAGCGGCGUAUUCCUCCCAGUGACAGGAGCAUGCGAAGUAAAGGAGUGUUACCAGACAUGUUCCAGCCUGCAUCCAGGCCUGCCUUCGGGGGGAGGGAGCUCAGACGAUCUGUGAGGAAGGGUGAUGGUGCCCACCCUCAUACCCAACAGCCUCUGCGACGCCGCACCAACAAGACGGCUGUGAGAAACACUGUCAGGAUCAAAUCAGAGCCAGCUGAAUACUGUAUCUCAGGUCUCAGACUUUCAUCAAACAAUCACCGUGCCCACACACCUCACAAAUCCCUGCCUUCACAGAGGACACAGGCCAGAAGUAAGGUCACUGUAGAGACGGUCAAAACACUGCGUUAUAACAGCGGCCGACCAGCAGCCAAGGCCAAACUCAGGCGGGGCUCCACAAGGGAGGUGGAGAAGACAAAGUGCAAACCCAGAGAGGAGGGAAGGAAGGUGGGGAGCGAGGGGCUAAGAAGGGUCAUGGACACUAGACCAGAAGUCAAGAAUAAUGAACCCGGUGCGCUCUCCUUUUCAGAGCACGCACCUCCGCCGUCCAUCUACAGCCACCCUCUGUACAAAGUCAUUAAAGAGGAGCCAGCAGAACCUGUGCCAGUUGUCGGACCAUUCCCCGAUCCACCCUCACCAGAUCUGGGCAAACGCCAGAGCAAGCCCCCCAUCAAACUACUGGACUCAGGCUUUCUGUUCAGCUUCUGUCGGCCGGCAGGGGGGCCCAUGGUAGGACUAAAGAAAGAGGAAGAGAGCGUGGAUAUAUGCUUAACUCGUUCUGUGUCACAAGUUGGGGAGAAAUUUGAAGCAAACGAGUCCACACACAGGACCCUGCGAGCCAGAGGGCCCCCCAUCCUGCCUGUAGUGAAGAGGGAGAGGGAGGAGAGGAGAGUGAGCCAAGGCAAGGCUCAGCGAACCAGGACGAGCUCCCGAAAUGCCACUUUGCACCUGGCCAAAUGCAAUGCUGGGUCAAAAACUGCACGGACCAUGCCAAAG
ensembl:lncRNA